rnacentral:lncRNA from 1 species
UUUCAUUCCUGCUCUCAUUCCGAGCAUUCUUCGCAUCUCUAUCGGUGCGGCGGAGAUUCCCGUUCACAUUCCGGCCGGCCCCAAAACACAAGAAUAACUUUACACAGUUUGCAAAAAAACUAUACAAACCCACACUAGAACAAAACAAAGGGGCCGAACUUAAAUUUUGAUAUAAAUAAAGCGGACGUUAAGUUGGCUACGCUGCACAUUUCGGAGCGCCGCACAAAUAUAGCGCGGAGAGACUUGUUGCUCGCGUAUCUUUGGCGUUUAUUCACCAGCUUCUGGUCGGAUCUUAACCGUAAGUACACAUUUGACUUUUUUCUUCUCUUUCAUUAUCUGACUUGCGUCAACUCUCGGCAUCUUUAUUCACUUGUUUUACAGUGUUGGUUUAAUCUUUGGCUGUGCCAUAAACACUUCACAUCCUUUAGCCUAUUUGUGUGGUUUAUUUUAAAAACAGCGACUUGUUUAGUCAUAACUUUAAAGACUCCUUUACUCUAGAGAAACUUUAGCUUGCUGAGCUUAUGCAAUUGUAAAAAGUAACUCAUUUGUCUGUUCAACGCAUUUAUGUUUUAAUCCCACAAGUUGUUGACAUUGCUUUUAGUGUAUUAGCCUGUUUCGGAAAGAUUACAUGGGAGAAUCUGGCUGCUAUUCCUCUGUCAUUUCCUUUGUUGGGAUUGCCCGCCCUGUUUCUGCAGGACUAAUGUCGUGCCUCGGCGUGUUGCAUUUAGGGUUUAUAAACAGUAAUAGCAUUUCAAAUGCUGCGUGUCACUUACAGUAUGUGUUUUAAAUCCUGAAACGCUGUUUCAUCACUAGGAAUGAAACUAUGAAGGACGGUAACAGCGGGACGGGACGUAGCUUAGCUUAGCACUUCAUCAGUGACUAGCUUUACAACUCCACUAACUAUCCAGGCUUUUACAUAAUCGCACACUAUUCAGUAUUAUUAUAUAAUGGUUUACGUUUUUAAACAUGGCAUUGUCAUUUUGAGAAUGAAUUAUUCAACUAUGAAAUCAAUCAUCUGCACCUCCAGCUGCUUAAAACCUUCACUUUUUAAUAUCAAACUGCUUUUGUAUAAUCAAUUGACUCAUACCUUAUAACACAUCACAGGUAUUACUAUUGUAAUACAAUUAUAUCUUGAUAUUAGUCACAUAUUUCUUCAACUUGAUUACAUUACGGCCCCAUAAUAGUUCAUUACAGUUUAACAAUGGAAGCCAUGAAAACACAGCUGGAAAAAUUCAAGUUAAUUUAAUUCUUUUUUAUUUCUAUAGCGCUUUUACAAUGUAGAUUGUGUCAAAGCAGCUUCACAUAGACGAUUAUAGUAAAUUGAAACAGUGUCAG